UCCUUCGAUCUAUUUCCCUUUUAGAAUAUAAUGUCUUCUUAUUCAGGGGAUUUUACAAUAUUGACUUAAUUAUUGCAAUUAAUAUGUGAGAUAAUAUAUUUUAGAAGUGUAGUGGUCGAAUGCGUUGGAGCAUUUUCUAAAAGUGAUUUGAACCUUAAAUCAAAUUUUGCAGAAAAUUCUAAUUUUGGCCCACGAUGGAUAUCCAACUUUGAAGAGUUUAAUCAUUUUGUGUUAAAAACAAAAGGAGUUAACUGAAUCAUCUUUGCUGGUUAUCGUGUUGCAUUAAUUGAAAAUUUUUAAAAUUGAAUUUUAAUGAUUUUAAUUACAGGUAUUAUAAACAAUGUAUAAGGAAAUUUUCAUUAUACCUAAAUGAAUUAUUGUACUAAAUGGAAAGAAUGACUCAAAUUGAUGAAGGAUUAUGUUUUGUGUUCAGUUUUGGUGUUUAUGUUGUUAAAUGCAGGUGAUUAAGCUCAGCUUCCAUCAUAAAAACUAGUAGUUUGAAAUUUAAAUUUAAACUAGUAGUGGUGUUAGACUUGUUAUCACUUUGAUAAUACCUGCUACAGGAGAGACUUUCAUCUUUCAUUUCAUAUGGGAUUAUAUAUUUAGGGUCCCUUUGUGGUAGUAGUCUCCUCGACCUAUAUUAAUUAGUCUUGUAAAUUUAAGAGCAGUUGAUUAGAAAUGGGUUUGAUAGCUUCCUGUUGGCUGCUUGUCGAAUCUUUCGUCGUCCCACAUGGAUUUGUCAAGUGGUUUUUGUUGAGUUUGUACAUUCAUCCAUUCUUUCUUGUUUUCUGCCAACUCUUUUAUGAUGCUCUUGAACCAGCAACUGAGCAUAUUGCGGUACAAGAUUGCCAGCUUUUUAUUGGUCGAAGUAGAUUCGAAUCAAUAGAAGAAAUAGUUGGCAAUUGCUAUGUUAAAGAUUCAUGGCGGAAUCAGUACUUGUUUUCUGAUCAUUACAAUUACACUACGUCUGCACUGAUCAUAUACGAUGUUAACAUGUCGGAAAUCAUGGAGGAGGAAGCUUCAACGAUCAAGUCGGCUAGCAAAUCAUGGUACAAGACCAUGAUCUCGGAUAGUGACUACACAGAAUUUGAGAACUUCACAAAGUGGUUGGGUGCGUCUCAGUGAUUCAAAUCUUGAUUUAAGUUGGCUAGCAAAUCAUGGUCCGUGUAAACACCCGACUCCUUUAUCAACAAACUAAAUUUAACUUGCUUCGUGAAGAAAGUGAGGGCUAUGCCAAACUGGUUACUCUCCUGUGUCAAGUUCCUGAAGUAUCGACUGAAAAUCAAUCAGCUGCAACAGUUGGCAUAAUUAAGUCUUUAAUAGGUCACUUUGAUCUGGACCCCAAUCGCGUUUCACCAUAUAACUUCAUGAACUUGUCUUGCAUCCUUAUGCUUACUAUAUUCCUCAUCCUUAUAACUUCAGUAGAUUUCUAAUCUUAAUUCUCUGACGCGACAUAGGUAUGUGGAAGCAUUUUGCCAUCUUCAGUUAUAUCUUUAUAUUGCAUGUACCUCUGCUACAGUGGACUUGCCAGUGAACCUAGGGAUUACGAAUGCAAUGGUCUUCGCAAGCAUUCUAGAGCAGUUUCAACCAGUAGUUUUGCCCUUGGGCUGCUCACAAUAGUUUUAUCUGUUGUUUAUUCUGUUGUCUGAGCAGGAUCUUCUACAAUGUUGCUUUCUCCUCCAAGCUCUCCACGAGCAGGUUCUGGGAGGCCUUUGCUACCAUUAGACAAGGCAGACGAGCAGUACGAAGAGAAAGAGAAAGAGAAGUCGAAGCCAGUCACAUACUCAUACUCAUUUUUCCACUUAUUCUUGUCCUUGGCUAGCAUGUAUUCCGCCAUGCUGCUCACAGGUGUACGGCGCGCAAUAGCAGUCAGGGGUACGUAGGAAGAUGUGGCAUUUUGUUUGAUUUUUGGAAUUGAUUUUCAAUCUGGAAAUGAUGAAAGAAUUUGGUGACAAUUGUGUUGAACACCAUUUUAUGUUAAUGUUUGGAUGUAAAUUAAAUGACUACUUUAGGUACUUUGAAGCUACAAUGUUUGGAAGUUUAAGUUAUUUUAUAUAAUAUAUUUUUUCGAUUGUAUUA